ACGUAGGGGGCAAGCGUUGUCCGGAAUUAUUGGGCGUAAAGGGCGCGUAGGCGGCCUGAUAAGUAGGGGGUGAAAUCCUGCGGCUUAACCGCAGGGCUGCCUUCUAAACUGUCGGGCUAGAGCACGGUAGAGGCGGAUGGAAUUCCCGGUGUAGCGGUGGAAUGCGUAGAGAUCGGGAAGAACAUCAGUGGCGAAGGCGGUCUGCUGGGCCGUUGCUGACGCUGAGGCGCGACAGCGUGGGGAGCAAACAGGA
rnacentral:rRNA from 1 species